rnacentral:rRNA from 1 species
UACGUAGGGUGCAAGCGUUAAUCGGAAUUACUGGGCGUAAAGCGUGCGCAGGCGGUUAUGCAAGACAGAUGUGAAAUCCCCCGGGCUCAACCUGGGAACUGCAUUUGUGACUGCAUAGCUAGAGUACGGUAGAGGGGGAUGGAAUUCCGCGUGUAGCAGUGAAAUGCGUAGAUAUGCGGAGGAACACCGAUGGCGAAGGCAAUCCCCUGGACCUGUACUGACGCUCAUGCACGAAAGCGUGGGGAGCAAACAGG